ACCUUUGUAUACUUGUAUUUUUUCCCGAACAUAAAACCAUGUAACUAACUGUUGAGAGUAAGGAGUAAUCGACCUUAUAGCGUUACAAUGGAAGUUGAAGGACUAAAUAUUCUUACUUUUGUUGGCUAUAUUUUGACAAUUGUUGCAGCAGUUUUAGAUUUAAUUGGUUUUUCUGUUCCAUACUGGUAUAGGUAUAGAAUAUCUGGUAUAAUGGAAAUUUAUGGAGGACUUUGGAGUUCCUGUAUAAAAUCUUCUAUGACAACAGCGUGCACUUCACAAUUAGGCAAUAAUUUGGAAUCUUGGUUCAAAGCCGUUCAAGCCAUGCAAACACUAGGGUUUUUGUGUCUUAUGGCUGCUGGUAUUGUCGUCAUACUAAAAUUGUUCGUCUUUAAAGAUAAAUCAGUUCUCAAAUGGGCUACAGUUGGAUGUCUAGCAGCAGCAGCAACAUUGAUCCUGGUUGGGGUUUGUAUAUAUGGAGAAAAAACCUUAAGUAUUCAAAAGGAAAAUCUUCAUUUUGGUUUUGCCUUUGUCAUCUUUGCAGCUAUCGUUGCCAUUGUUGCCUCUGUUUUGUUUUGUUUCGACAAGCAGGUGGGGCUCUUAAUUAAUAAGUAUCUGUGAAUGAACACGAAUUUUGACUCAUUUGACAUGGCAAAGUUUUAUGCUUUAACUAGUAAAAUUAAUUAUAUAUUUUUUUUUAAA